rnacentral:rRNA from 1 species
AGGGAAUAUUGCGCAAUGGACGGAAGUCUGACGCGGCGACGCCGCGUGAGCGAUGAAGGCCUUCGGGUUGUAAAGCUCUGUCCUUGGGGAAGAAGGUCUUCGGACUUGACGGUACCCAAGAAGAAAGCCCCGGCUAACUACGUGCCAGCAGCCGCGGUAAUACGUAGGGGGCGAGCGUUGUCCGGAAUUACUGGGCGUAAAGGGUGCGUAGGCGGCCCUUUAAGUCAGAUGUGAAAGGCCACGGCUUAACCGUGGGAUUGCAUUUGAAACUGGAGGGCUUGAGUGUCGGAGAGGGUAGUGGAAUUCCCAGUGUAGCGGUGAAAUGCGUAGAUAUUGGGAGGAACACCAGUGGCGAAGGCGACUACCUGGGCGAUAACUGACGCUGAGGCACGAAAGCUAGGGGAGCAAAC